rnacentral:rRNA from 1 species
UACAGAGGGGGCAAGCGUUGUUCGGAAUUACUGGGCGUAAAGGGCGCGUAGGCGGCCUGCUAAGUCAGACGUGAAAUCCCUCAGCUUAACUGGGGAACUGCGUCUGAUACUGGAUGGCUUGAGUUUGGGAGAGGGAUGCGGAAUUCCAGGUGUAGCGGUGAAAUGCGUAGAUAUCUGGAGGAACACCGGUGGCGAAGGCGGCAUCCUGGACCAACACUGACACUGAUGAGCGAAAGCCAGGGGAGCAAACGGG